AAAAGGGUGGAGGAAGAGGAGCAGCAGCAAAGCCACUAUACUUAAGUCACCCUCCAUUUUCUGAAUAUUUUGACUAAAAUCUAAUGUUUUUAUGUGUUUCUAGGCUCAGAUAUGUGAAUGGAAGGAGUAGGAGAAAGAAGAAGGAGUAACAAUGCAGAAGGAUGAAGAAGAAAUGAGAAAUAAAGAUUGAAAAGGAGAAGCUAAGGUGACGACAGGCAAAAUGAGUUGGACGUAGCGGAGACCGUGGGUGGUCAAUUCACGGCGCAGAAUACCUAUACCUUGCACCACGCUGACUGCCCGCAGCUGUUCACUAAAGUCGGGCAAGCCUGUAUCUCCGUGUUUUGCCCUGGAUAUAGGAGUAAAACGUUGAUGAGUGCGUGGAGUCGUCCAGAUCCUCUCCCUGUGGACCAUCCCCUCAGCAGUGUGCGAUCCGCCCAGCAACACCAACGGUCAUGAGAAGGCGGUCAUUGAAGUGUCAAAGUCCCCAAGCUGGCAUUGUGGUGGGUGUUGUGCUGGGCUCCCUUGGGUUUCUUUGUCUAGCUGUUGGCGUAAGUCAAAUAGUUUUUCACUUCUUUAUACUGUGGGGUCUUGCUGUGAACGUGUUGUGGCUGUGCUGUGGCAAAGAUGGCGUAAUUAAGCAGUGGGUGAGAUUCUACCAAACUUUAAAUAAUUCUAAAUUAUUCUUGACACACUGAGAAUAUUCCAUUACUGUAAAGUUAGCCGACUCAUACUUUAUACUUUUUUUUUCAUCUCACCUGCAACAUUUUCAUUGUACAGAUGUUUGUAUGACUACACUGAAACAAGCCCAGAAUAAAGUGUUUAGUGACCAUGAUGAAUUAGUACUACUAACGCCAAAGAAGUGAGGGAAGUGUUUGGAGUGAACGUGCAAGACGUACAACAGACACCAGACUGCUACUGCCGCUGUAGUCAAAGGAACAAGAUGAGGCGGAGAAGGAGGAGGAACAAGAAGUGAUUAUUGGAGACGUACCUAUGAAGUUCCUAAGGUUGGCCUCAAAUCUUCAUUACUGGUGUAUUUCAUUGAACGUUUGUAGAUUGGGUGGAUAAAUUUGUAGAUUUUGUAGACAGUUGCAGAUGUGAAGUGGGUAAGGUUUUUUGCAAUGCCUUAUCUACACCAGCAGAAAACCGUGAUAUGUAGAAAUUGUGAUAGAAGUAUUGUGAUAGGAAUAUACCGUGUAGAGAAUUUAAAAGAGGAGAGUGUAGACCCAAAUUUAUUGAUAAUGGAGUUCCUCAGGGUUCUGUCUUGUCACCCUCUCUCUUUCUAUAAUUAAUUAAUUAACCAAACUUGUUGU